rnacentral:lncRNA from 1 species
UCUAUUGGUCUAGUGGAUAAGUGGAGUGUUGGUGUGAAGGAGGUCCUAUUUUUGAAUCUUGAUGUGGGCAUUAUUUUUGCUCGUGCGUCCAGGAGAGUUUGAGAUGGACUAAAAAUCUGAGUAGUGUAUUUAGUGGGGAGUUUGAUGGAGAGAAAUAAGGGAUUGAGGUGGUUAUCAAAUAUUUUGUUCAUCUUUUUUUUCUUUCUUUUUACUGUCCCUAAAAUCCCUCCACCCUCUUACCGUUUUUCUCUUCAUUGUUGUUGAAUUUCUGCUCUGCCUCGUUUCGCUUAACGUUUGUCUGCGAUCAUUCGGUAAGUUUUUGACAAGUGAUUUGUCUCCGUUUGUUAAAUUUCUUCUGAAGUGUUUUGUUU